rnacentral:rRNA from 1 species
GAUGAACGCUGGCGGCGUGCCUAAUACAUGCAAGUCGAGCGAACGGACGAGAAGCUUGCUUCUCUGAUGUUAGCGGAGGACGGGUGAGUAACACGUGGAUAACCUACCUAUAAGACUGGGAUAAUUUCGGGAAACCGUAGCUAAUCCCGGAUAAUAUUUUGAACCGCAUGGUUCAAAAGUGAAAGACGGUCUUGCUGUCACUUCUAGAUGGAUCCGCGCUGCAUUAGCUAGUUGGUAAGGUAACGGCUUACCACGGCGACGAUGCAUAGCCGACCUGAGAGGGUGAUCGGCCACACUGGAACUGAGACGCGGUCCAGGGUCCUACGGGAGGCAGCAGUAGGGAAUCGUCCGCAAUGGGCGAAAGCCUGACGGAGCAACGCCGCGUGAGUGAUGAAGGUCUUCGGAUCGUAAAACUCUGUUAUUAGGGAAGAACAUAUGUGUAAGGAACUGUGCACAGCUUGACGGUACCUAAUCAGAAAGCCACGGCUAACUACGUG